CCCUUAGAUGUUCUGGGCUGCACGCGCGCUACACUGAAGCGUUCAACGAGUAUUCACCUUGCCCGGGAGGGUUGGGUAAUCUUUUGAAAACGCUUCGUGAUGGGGAUAGAUUAUUGCAAUUAUUAAUCUUCAACGAGGAAUUCCUAGUAAGCGCGAGUCAUCAGCUCGUGCUGAUUACGUCCCUGCCCUUUGUACACACCGCCCGUCGCUCCUACCGAUUGAGUGCUCAGGUGAAUAAUUCGGACUGCAGCAAUGUUCGGAUCCCGAACGUUGCAGCGGAAAGUUUAGUGAACCUUNUNACUUAGNGGAAGGAGAANUCGUANCA
rnacentral:rRNA from 1 species